rnacentral:rRNA from 1 species
AAGCACUCGCUACCAGACUUGGGUUUGGCGGUUCAACCGGGGCCACGCCCCGGGGCAUUCCGCCAGCUCAGGCCAGCAUCAGCUUUCCGUCGGGGGCAAAGACGUCGGGAAUGUGGCUCCCCCUCGGGGGAGUGUU